AUUGAACGCUGGCGGCAUGCCUAACACAUGCAAGUCGAACGAGUGGCGGACGGGUGAGUAAUGUCUGGGAAACUGCCUGAUGGAGGGGGAUAACUACUGGAAACGGUAGCUAAUACCGCAUACCAUCGGAUGUGCCCAGAUGGGAUUAGCUAGUAGGUGGGGUAAAGGGUCACCUAGGCGACGAUCCCUCGCUGGUCUGAGAGGAUGACCAGCCACACGGGAACGUGGACACGGUCCAGACUCCUACGGUAGGCAGCAGUGGUGAAUAUUGCACAAGGGGCGCAAGCCUGAUGCAGCCGUGCCGCGUGUAUGAAGAAGGCCGUCGGGGUGUAAAGUACUUUCAGCGGGGAGGCGUUACCCGCAGAAGAAGCACCGGCUAACUCCGUGCCAGCAGCCGCGGUAAUUC
rnacentral:rRNA from 1 species